rnacentral:rRNA from 1 species
AUUGAACGCUGGCGGAAUGCUUUACACAUGCAAGUCGAACGGCAGCACGGGGCAACCUGGUGGCGAGUGGCGAACGGGUGAGUAAUACAUCGGAACGUGCCCAAUCGUGGGGGAUAACGUAGCGAAAGUUACGCUAAUACCGCAUACGAUCUACGGAUGAAAGCGGGGGAUCGCAAGAUCUCGCGCGAGUGGAGCGGCCGAUGUCAGAUUAGGUAGUUGGUGGGGUAAAGGCUCACCAAGCCAACGAUCUGUAGCUGGUCUGAGAGGACGACCAGCCACACUGGAACUGAGACACGGUCCAGACUCCUACGGGAGGCAGCAGUGGGGAAUUUUGGACGAAUGGGCGCAAGCCUGAUCCAGCCAUUCCGCGUGCAGGAUGAAGGCCUUCGGG